AUGCCCAGUGAUUAUAAAAAGACGCGUUAUUCUGAGGAACAAAACCAGCUUACCAGCCUUUCAUCUGACUUUUACUCUCUUAACUCCUCGUUCUUUCCUGUCCUCCUCUCUCUCUCUCUCUCUUCCUCUCUUCCUCUCCUCCUCUCCUCCUCUCCUCUUCAGGCUGGAUGCUGGUCCGCUGACUGCGAUUAUGAGAUAUGAGGGCAU
rnacentral:snoRNA from 1 species